UACAGAGGGUGCAAGCGUUAAUCGGAUUUACUGGGCGUAAAGCGUGCGUAGGCGGUUCAUUAAGUCGGUUGUGAAAUCCCUGGGCUUAACCUGGGAACUGCAGUCGAUACUGGUGAACUAGAAUGCGGUAGAGGGUGGCGGAACUCCGGGUGUAGCGGUGAAAUGCGUAGAUAUCCGGAAGAACACCGAUGGCGAAGGCAACCACCUGGGCCUGCACUGACGCUCAUGCACGAAAGCGUGGGGAGCAAACAGG
rnacentral:rRNA from 1 species